UACGAGGGGGGCAAGCGUUGUUCGGAAUUAUUGGGCGUAAAGGGCGCGUAGGCGGUGCGGUAAGUCACCUGUGAAAUCUCCGGGCUUAACUCGGAGCCUGCAGGCGAAACUGCCGUGCUUGAGUGUGGGAGAGGUGCGUGGAAUUCCCGGUGUAGCGGUGAAAUGCGUAGAGAUUGGGAAGAACACCCGUGGCGAAGGCGGCCAACUGGACCGACAUUGACGCUGAGGCGCGAAAGCGUGGGGAUCAAAAGGG
rnacentral:rRNA from 1 species